GACGAACGCUGGCGGCGUGCUUAACACAUGCAAGUCGAACGGUAAGGCCCUUCGGGGUACACGAGUGGCGAACGGGUGAGUAACACGUGGGUGAUCUGCCCUGCACUUCGGGAUAAGCCUGGGAAACUGGGUCUAAUACCGGAUAGGACUCCUGGCUUCAUGGUUGGGGGUGUAAAGCUUUUGCGGUGUGGGAUGGGCCCGCGGCCUAUCAGCUUGUUGGUGGGGUAAUGGCCUACCAAGGCGACGACGGGUAGCCGGCCUGAGAGGGUGACCGGCCACACUGGGACUGAGAUACGGCCCAGACUCCUACGGGAGGCAGCAGUGGGGAAUAUUGCACAAUGGGCGCAAGCCUGAUGCAGCGACGCCGCGUGAGGGAUGACGGCCUUCGGGUUGUAAACCUCUUUCAGCACCGACGAAGCGCAAGUGACGGUAGGUGCAGAAGAAGGACCGGCCAACUACGUGCCAGCCGCCCGCGGUAA
rnacentral:rRNA from 1 species